GGGAGAACAGCAGCGAGCAACUGGAAAAAAUCACAAUUCUCCUGUAGAACUGAGCCCAGCCUCACCUCGCACAGGCCAGCGGGCUUCAAUUUCCAGACCCUCCCUGAGCCAUACCAGGUCAAUGGAAGGAGCACCUUUGUGCAGCAAAGGGAGAAGACAUCAGAGCCCUCCAUUCAGGACUGGCAGCACUGUGGGGAACCUCCCAGGGAACUCAGCUGCAAACACAAGGAUUAUCACAUUGGCAGGGAAAAUUGUCAAUGCAAUGACCAAGAAAAACCUGCAAAGGAGGCAGUCUCUUAUGGCCAUGGGAAGGAGCUGAGGGUUAUAGUCACUGGGCAGAGGACUGAGCACAUGGGACAGGUUCUGGGAAGCACUGAGCACCUAGACUGGGUUCUAAAUUUCAUCCUGGGUUUUGAGUCUGUACUCAAGAAACAGGAUCUUGUAUUAGUCAUAAUAAAAUUGUUUGACCCAAUA